rnacentral:misc_RNA from 1 species
UGGGACUACAGGUCCUGGGAA